UCAAGUUCCUGUCUCUCAGGGAAGACAGGGAUUCACUUUUCAAGAACAUGGACCGAGUAGCCACCCAGUGGAAAGCACUGUUCUCAGUACCAGGGACACAGCACUGAACAAAACAAACUGUUUGUGCUCAUGGAGAUCCCAUGCUAGUGAGGGAGUCAGACAGUAAGCAAAUGGAUAUUUGAUUGAGAGCCAAGUUUCUGGUACAGUCAAAUUUUCUUAAGGGUUGCAAAGUGGUCAUAAUUAUUUCCACCUAGGGAAUAUUUACCCCAUGGGGAAGCUCUGUCCAUUUCUGCCCAUCUGAGCAAGUAAAACACAGGACUAUCACAGUUAUUCCAGAGCUCCAUGAAGCAAGCAAAAGUCAUCACAUUGGUUUAUUCUCUUCCUUCCAGGGAAAUAUUUGCAGUGCCUGCAGCAUUCCAGAGUUCAGUUGGGGCCAAUGUAAAGCCAGUCCCUUACUUAUAGGAUACGUCACAGACUGAGGGCCCAAUGUCAUGGGAAACCACUGGGCCACAGGAAAGGCAGAACACUGUAAGAAGGUGGCUGUCUGCAAGCCCGGAAGGGUCUCUCACCUGGAACUGAAUCAACUGGCAUCUUGAUCUUGGACUUCGCAACCUCCAGAACUGCAAGGAAUCAAUGUUGUUAAGCAACCCAAUCUGCGGCAUUUUGUUACAGCAGCUUGAACUAAGACAGCAGGUUUACUACAGAUUUUAGGAAUCACUUUUGUUGGAGGAGUCUUUUCUUCAUAGCUAUUAAACUUUCUUUUUGUCAGAUUUGUUUCUUUUACCUGUGGAUUGUAGGUACCCACACUUUUUAAUUGUGUAAUUGUAGCCAGAUCGUCUAAGGCAAAGAUUUCCAAAUUGCUAGUCAGGUCAUUGCUAUCAUUCACAGCUUACCAGCAAUUGGUAGCAGCAAAACUAGUGUGCCAAGGUGAUGAUGAGGCAUCAAAAGCAUUCCUAUAAAAUCAACAUAUGUUGGGACUUGUGGAUCUUUUAUAUGUUUUUCCAUGAACAAAUCUAGCAUUUUCCUUGGUGUAUUAAAGGUGAGGGCAUUAGAAAUAUCUCCUUUUUUGUGAGAAUGUGUGAUAUUGAUUUGAUAAUGAUUGAAGCCCUAUUUUUGCUCCUUGUUAUCAAAUAAAAAAACCACACUGGGCAUGAUACCCCAAACAGUGCAUAAAUUCAUUUGGAGAAUAUUUAUUAUUUUAUUUAUUUCAAGUAUAGAAAGUCAUUGUAUGUCUGAUGUCAGAUACUUUUCUUGUAAACAAUAGUCUAAAGCUCUUUGGAGACUGAUAAUAUUUUCUAAUGGCUGCCCAUUCCCUCUGAGAUUAAAUUGCAUUUUUUUGACUGACAUCCCUCUGAUUCAUUCUUGGAAAGAUAGCAGGCUACUUAAGAUAGCCCCAUUAUAUUUUUGGAAGAAAUUUUCAGUACCAAUUUUAUUUAUCCUCAGGAGAACCUGAAAAUAAUUGCUCAGCCAUUGACCAUGGACUCUGUUGAUCUGCUGUCUGGAUUUGUGGUCCUGUGAUGACCUAGAUGGUGGGACCACUAUCCAGCUACCAAGACCAAGUGGCCUUCAGCCUUCCCUCUCCUGCACAGGCCUCCCCAUUCCCUUAGUUAUCCAGUGUUUUCAUGUGGGCCCCUCGUGGCUCCCCUUUGCUGUGUCUGAGGCCCUGAGGAGUGGUGUUAAUAGUGGUUAAAAGCAUUGACUUAGGUUUCAGACAGAUUUUGGUUCUACUUCUGAAAUAUUGUAUGACAUUGGGAACAACUGUUUCUUUAUCUAUCAAAUGGGCAUAUGACCUCAUGAGAUAGUUGUGUGGGGUACAGUGAUGCCAUGUACGUGAAGUACUUGAGAGCACCUACACAUAGCAGAGGCUCAGGAAAUAUCAUUUCUCUUCUGAUCUCCACACCUGGAUCCAUUUAUUUUGUUUCUUUCUCAGUUUCAACCCAAAGCAGACCUCCUGUGGCUAUCCCAUUGUACCAAAUACAACAAGGUUUCACACAUAAAUAGCAGUAGCUGAUUAAUGAGAGUUUCAGGGAAGCUACGUAACUUUCCUAAGACGAUAGAGGAAAUGGCAAAGUCAAACUCACUGUGGUCUGACAGCCAAGUCCAUAUCCUUAACCACUAUACUUUAAAGCCUCCUGGGGGCUGCCACUCUAUCCACAGAUCAUGGGGAACAUUCCCCACAGGCAUCUGGGCACAUAGAUGGUAAAAAGAGCAGGGUGGACACUGCACAGCCAAAAAUAAGCACAGGAUCUUUAUCAAAGGUUUUACAGUACCUCCUCUCACCAACAAUGGGGAAGCACAUCCACUUAUCCACCCACUGGCCAACAUUGGAUAUCACUGACCUUUUUUAGUUUUGACUUUCUGAUGGAUGAAAAAUAUCACUUUAUUGGCCAUUUGUACUCAUUUUUCAGUAAUAGGUUAGAUUUGAAUUUGACUGAUUUCUAAUAUCCAUCCAUUCAAAGAUAUUUUCCAAAGCAAAGCCCUAUUUUCUAAAGGAAAUAGGAAAACAGCUUUCUGAGAAAAUGCUAUUUAGAUGGUUAAAAGAUGGAAUUUAAUAUGCCAUUAUUAUUCAGAAGAUAGCAGCUGUUUUUUACACCGAUGAAGUUAAAAUGGCAGAAAGUAUAUUUCAUAUGCUUAUGGUAUGGGUUUUAGAACAAGAAAAAAUAGAGAUACUAAAAACCGCUAGAGUUGACAGUGAAUUCCAGCAGACUCACACCAAAUCUUACAGUUCUGGUGAGUGCUUGUCACAGUACUUAUGACAGCCAUUUAUCUCUCUUAGGAAAUUGUGUUUUCUUCAAGCUGUACCAUUUUCUUAAUACAUUACACUCUUGGCAUCAGGAAUGGAGCAUCUAGAUAAAAAAAGUAUGUUUGGAAUUUGUUUUUCAACAAUUUGUAUUUACAGAGCUUAGGGAUAACAAGAAAGGCACACUGGUUUGCCAUCUCAUGAAAACACAUGUCUACAUUUUUAUACCCUGUGUAAAUAUGCAUAUAUCCACCCUGAUUUCUAUUGGUAAAAUGUAAUGUUUGGACCAAUGUGACAUUUAUCAAAACACUUCACAUGCUACAGCGCAAAGUAAAGAACAAAUAUCAAAUAAUUUUUGUACAUGGAGACAUACUUUAUUCUCUCAGUAGAGUGCAAUUACAUUAGUGAUAAUUAACCGAAAAUAACCUCAAAUGCUUUUAGACCAUUAAAAUUCAUUCAUACAUAAUUCAUCAGUGAAAAAAGUCAUAAUGAAAAUCUUACUUUUGACUAUAGAAGAAAUUUCAAAUAAAAUGUUUGCAUGUUGAAUAAACCAGUGUACUAGAAAAAUGUAUCAGGACCAAUUGUUUAUCAUAGGAUUGCAAGGAUGAGUUAACACUAACAAUUUGUGUUAAAAAUUAAAUUAAUACACUAACAAUGUGUUGGAAUAUUGCAUUAUAAGUUCAGAAGAGAGGUGGUGAACAGUUAAGUUAAAAUUUGGGGGAAAAUUGGCUAUAACCUGGGAAAAAUAAAAUUAGGUUACAAAUUCACACCGUACACAAAAACAAACUCCAAAUAGCUUAAAGGACUUAACUGGAAAAAUAAAGUUUAGAACUUUUAAAAAUACAUGUAAUUAAAUCUAUUUACAAUGUCAAGAUAAUGAAUGAUUUCUUGAACACAGCAUAAAAUGAACAAAACAUAAAAAAAGAUUAAUAAAAUUUACAAUGUCAUAAUUUUUUAAAACUUUGAUGAAAAAAUAACCCACCAUAAACAAGCAUAAGUCACAGACUGAAAGAGCUUAUAGAAUAUAACAGGAAAAAGUUAAUUCAUAUAAGAAAUAUAUUUUAAAAGUCCUACAACUCAAUCAGAAAAAAGAAAGGAUGUGAAUUCAAUGACCAAUAAACCUAUUAAAAUAUGUUCCCUUUUACUAGUAACAAGGAACAGUAAAUUACCAUAACAAUGUGAUACAAUUUCACAAUCACAAGUUUAGCAGAUGUUCUGAUAACACUAGAUGUUGAUGAGGGGUUGGGAAAUGGAAACUCAUAUACUGCUAGUGAAAAUAUAAAUUGCUACAGGUACUUCAGGGAGUAAUUUAGGAAUAUCCACUGAAAUUGAAAAAUUCAAUUUUUCAAUUGAAUUGAAAUGGGAGGCUAGACACUGCUAUUAUUUUUGUAACAAAUCUUUUAGGACUAUUUGAUUCUCAAAACAUAUACGCAACUUAAAGAAAAUGAAAAAAAUUUAAAUGAGAUAUACAACUUAAGUAAACAUUUAAAUAUUAAUUACAAAUGAACAGAAUAACAAGGAACUGUGCCUGAAAGUGUAGGCUAAAGCCAAACCUUCAAAGCCUCUGAAUAUCAAAUGAAACUAGUUGUAAUUGAUGCACAUGGUAAUGAUUAGCUACUGAAUGGUAUGUGCAAUGAAGUACAAAGCAAAGCUAUUUCUUGGAAGUGUUUUGGCAAAAUGUGGAGGCAGCAAUGACCAGCCACAAAACACUGUCUUAGUCAGGGAACAGACUAUAAGAAGCUGAACUGGGGCAUAGUGCUAGGAAUUGAAAAGAGAAGACAGAUUGGAGAAACAGCCCAUCUGCUGAGUCAUCCUCUCUGCCUGUUGCCAUGUGCUACCAUUUAUCUCUUACCAUUCCAAGCCUCUGCCCUAUGAAGGACAGCCUGGCUCUCACUUGUGCCUACUGGCCCCUCAGCCCCCAGAGCCUCCAGGCCAUUUUGGACAAGGUAAUCCUUAAUACCAUUGACCUAUUCACAACCUCAUUCUCCUGGACUUUCCAAGGUCUGCCUCUAUGCCCAAUGAGUAUCUUCUCACUCUUUUGGAAGAUAACUUUGCUGAACUCCCUCCCAUGUACACUACUGAGGCAAAGAAGUUGACCCUCUAUUUUCUUUUUAUCUUUGGUAGUACAAGCAUUCUGUGUGGUCUACAUUCAGGAUUCCAGUGCUUCUGUAUCUUAAAGCACAUUCUCAAUGACUAAAGCCAUAACUUUUGCUAGAAAGAGUUAAUAUCUUGUGAACUAACAAAGAUUUGUAGAUAUAUAGACACUCCUUGAUUUAUAGUGGGGUUAUGUCCUGAUAAACUUAUGAUAACUUAAAAACAUCAUAAACUGAAAAUACACUUAAUAUACCUAAUCUACAGAACACCAUAGCUUAGCCUAGCCUACCAUAAAUGUGCUUAGAACACUUACAUUCACUUACAGUUGGGCAAACUCAUGGGGCAACACAGUGCACCGCAGAGUAUCAGUAUUGACCUUCAUGAUCGCGGGGCUGACUGGGAGCUGCAGCCGUGGCUGUGCAGCAUUAAGAGGGAGUAUCAUAUCACAUUUGCUAGCUCAGAAAAAUAUCAAAAUUCAAAAUUUGAAGUAUGGUCUCUACUGAUGGUGCUGAUUUAUGUAAAUAUUUUUGUUUCAUUAUUUUCACAACUAGAAUUUUUUUUUCUAAAUUGUAUAUGGCUCUUAUAUAGGAUUGGUUUGUAGCACAGCUUGCAUAAAUAAAUAAAUUAGUUGCUUGACGUAACUUUUGGUUCAUUUAUGGUUCCAUGUAGUCCUGUUACUUUUCUUUCCACUUUUAAAUGAGUUGCUUACAAUGGAAAUGUUGUUAAGAUUUAACAAGAAGAGAAAAGCCAAAUGAAAAUCAGUUCAUAUGAAAUUGGCCUCUUGCCUGGUAUCUUUUGUGACCAUGAGGCUGAUGAUGCUGACCACAUAGGCUGUGGAAAGGGCUUUAUUUUCACAGGUACCCGGAUGCAUGCAUAAGAAUGAGUGUAACUUGACCUCAAUGAAAUUUCACAUUGAAAGAAGUAAUGUAUUGCAUAUUUGAUCCAUUAGAGCUGAUAAAGAAAAAUUAUUCCAGAAAAAAAUGUAGUACCUCUUAUAAUGAACCUUUUAGAUGGAUAUUCUGUGCUAUUUAUAUUUUGAACAGAUUCUUGUUUUCCUCAGGUCCCUGUCAGAUAAAAUAAAAAGUUCCCUAACAAACUAAACAUGAAA